rnacentral:rRNA from 1 species
UGGGGAAUUUUGGACAAUGGGCGCAAGCCUGAUCCAGCCAUGCCGCGUGCAGGAUGAAGGCCUUCGGGUUGUAAACUGCUUUUGUACGGAACGAAAAGACUCUGGUUAAUACCUGGGGUCCAUGACGGUACCGUAAGAAUAAGCACCGGCUAACUACGUGCCAGCAGCCGCGGUAAUACGUAGGGUGCGAGCGUUAAUCGGAAUUACUGGGCGUAAAGCGUGCGCAGGCGGUUAUGUAAGACAGGUGUGAAAUCCCCGGGCUCAACCUGGGAACUGCCUUUGUGACUGCAUAGCUAGAGUACGGUAGAGGGGGAUGGAAUUCCGCGUGUAGCAGUGAAAUGCGUAGAUAUGCGGAGGAACACCGAUGGCGAAGGCAAUCCCCUGGACCUGUACUGACGCUCAUGCACGAAAGCGUGGGGAGCAAACA